GCGUUUAGCAUUCUUUCCGAUUUGCCGACCUUUUCUUCUCUACUCAACUGUGUGAGUGGCUAUGCACGAGCAGUGACCAUUUUUGGAAGAAAAAGACACUCACCAGCUCUCUCCCUUGUAUCCAGCUUCCAAGUAUCCAGCCGGUGGUGACCAUUUUUGCAAGAAAAAGACUCCUCCUUUCGGUGAAGCAAGGUUGGGGGGGGGGGUUUCAACUGACCCAGUCUUAAUUUCAUUGAUCUCUGAGUUUUGGUAGUGGAAGGAUAACAAGAAAGCAAAAAUGGAUGUCGAUUCACAGCCAACUAUGGAGGAAACUAUUCUGGUUGGUGAUGAUCUAAUGAUGGGGCCACCGUCACCCCUCAUUCCACCAGAAAUUGCCUCCCAUGUGCUUGAAGGAGUUGAUUUAUGUGAUGGGAUUUUGCGGAAUCUAUUUUUGUGCUUGCAAAUCAAUGAUAUUGAGCCUUUCUGUCAAGAUGAGAUUGCCGUGUAUCGACAAUGCGCUGAAAAAAGGGAUAAGGAACUAAGACAACGACUUCAAGAUAGUGAGCACAAGUUGGGGUUAUCAAUGCCUCUAGAUGAAGCAAAGGAAAGAGCUGCUCAGCUUGAAUCAGAAGUUACAUCAUUGGAAAGGCGCUUGAUUCUUGCUAGUGGAAUUGAAGGCAUGGAAGGAUUUCGCCAGAGAUGGAGCUUGCAUGGUCGCCUCACAGAUACCAAGAGAAGGCUGGAGUCUUUGAAACAGGGAAUGGAGAAUAAAAUUAAAGAUGAGCCUGUUGGAGGUUCAACUGCUAAAAGAUGGUCUUUUUGGUGAAGAUUCAAGAGGCAUAUCUUUCACAUGAUUCUGGAUGGACUUACUCUGCAGCCUUGAACAACAGUAUACACAAGCUCUUAGCAACAAGUGGAUCAACAUCAAUCUUGUUCCUUCAAUGGACUGACUUCAACACACAACAAUCAAAACAAAUAUUGAAUAGUAAGAGCAAUUAUUUGGCUUAAAAAUUUUGAGUUCUUUAUCUCUAUUAGAGGUUGGCACAGUUGCACACGCUAAACUUUUCUACGGAAGAGAUGAGCAUUUCACAUUUGUUAUUUGUAGAUGGCAUGAUAUUAUCUUGAGAGGCUUCCACUGAGAAUUGGCUACAUAUUUGCCUUGCUUUUAUGUGCUUUGGGGUAGUGACAGGGUUAUGGGUGAAUUUGAGUAAGAGCGGGCUGGUCAUGGUGGGCAAUGCUGCAUUUUUGGCUGAUUUAUUAUGUAGUAAGGUGGGGUCUUUUCCCGGGAUCAACUUAGAGAUGCCCUUAGGCUCUGUUUAUAAAUUGCAGCA